UGGAGUGAUUUGUCUGCUUAAUUGCGAUAACGAACGAGACCUCGGCCCUUAAAUAGCCCGGUCCGCAUUUGCGGGCCGCUGCUUCUUAGGGGGACUAUCGGCUCAAGCCGAUGGAAGUGCGCGGCAA
rnacentral:rRNA from 1 species